AUGGAGGGGGACACGUCCUCCAUUCGAUCAUACGGUUCGAUUGCUUCUGUGCUUCCCUCUAAAAUAAGAAUUGAUUGUAUGUGUGACAGGCUAUUUGUGAUCACUCUUGAAGGAAGCCUCUAUAGCUGCAAGCACUGCAAAACACACAUUGCCCUUUCUGAUGAUACUGUUUUGAAGUCUUUUCACUGCAGGCAUGGAAAGACUUAUCUCUUUGAUAAAGUGUAAGCAUUC